rnacentral:rRNA from 1 species
UACGAAGGGGGCUAGCGUUGUUCGGAAUCACUGGGCGUAAAGCGUACGUAGGCGGACCAUUAAGUCGGGGGUGAAAUCCCAGGGCUCAACCCUGGAACUGCCUUCGAUACUGGUGGUCUGGAGUCCGGGAGAGGUGAGUGGAACUCCUAGUGUAGAGGUGAAAUGCGUAGAGAUCUGGAGGAAUACCGAUGGCGAAGGCAGCCAUCUGGCCUAACACUGACGCUGAGGUGCGAAAGCAUGUGGAGCAAACAGG